UUAGAUUGGUAUUUGGAUAUACCUCUGGAUAGAUGACAACAAUGUUAUGUAGUUUUUUAGAAAGAUAUUUAUUGCAGGUGUGUCAUUUGUGGCUGCACUAGGCUUCUUACUCUAUGGAGGAAGAUUAUUUUACAUGCUGAAGCAUUUGCCAAUUGAAUCUAAAUAGCG